rnacentral:rRNA from 1 species
UACGUAGGGACCGAGCGUUGUCCGGAAUCAUUGGGCGUAAAGAGCGUGUAGGCGGCCACUUAAGUCCUGCGUGAAAUCCUGCGGCUCAACCGCAGGCGGUCGUGGGAAACUGGGUGGCUAGAGUGCGGGAGAGGAGAGUGGAAAUCCUGGUGUAGCGGUGGAAUGCGCAGAUAUCUGGAGGAACACCGGUGGCGAAGGCGGCAUCCUGGACCAAUUCUGACGCUGAGGAGCGAAAGCCAGGGGAGCAAACGGG